UUCUUUUUGCAUAGUGCCAAAAUUGGGAUUUUAGGAUAACAAGGCCGUAGAUACUUUCAAAACUCGGAGCAGUAGCAAUUUGAGAAAGGCAGGCGCAUUUGACCAUUUUUCUCCUAUGAACUUUUAAUCACACUUUUGCAUGUUGUGUCUAAUAUACUAGGAUCCAAUGUUUGGAUUACAGACGAUAUCGAGUCUAUAGUAUAGUGUGGUUGCGACUAGGAUUUCUUUUGCUAGAAUAAAAAAUAGAGAUGUAACGAGUAGAAGGGAAUACAUUAAGUCAAAAUUCUAUACUUUUGUUAGCAAACUCCAUUAAGUGCAAUGAAACAAAUAUAUAGGCAUGAAUCCAAACAGUAUAUAUGGGCGUGAAUAGUCUUUUUACAUGAGUAAUCCUUCUUAUUUUUACAAUUUCUGCAUGGACAACAAAUGAAACCGGACGGCGGUUUGUUGGAUUCUACCAGAUUGAGAAAACCACGCAAGCUAUUAAUGUACUACAUGGAACGUUUGCCUGCAUUGUACAUCCAUUGCCGAUUCAUCUACAAAGUAUUACCGAACCAAAGAUAUUCUAAUCAUCCAUACAAUUGUACAUGAAACAUAACAAACAUGAUACAAAUACCAUUAAACUCAAAUAUUGCUGAAAGUUUAGAUAGAAAUAUACAAGUUUAAAUUUCAGACCCAAACAACAUGAUAUACUACGACAAACUCAAAUGUUGUUGAAAGUUUAGAUAGAAAUAUACAAAUUUAAAUUUCAGACCCAAACAGUAUGAUACACUAUGACAAACCCUCCACUGAGUACUAUUUAGGAGGACUUUAAACAUUCUUGGACGGUGAAGACGAAGGUUUCACUGACCCAACCUUGUCCUGUUGUUUAUUUGUGCCUUCGGCAAUAGUAGUACUAAGUGGACCUGAAACACCCGGGACUAGCGGUGGAGCAUAAUGACCGCCAAAAGGAGGUUCCUGACCCGCCGCAACAACAUCUUCAUGACAUCUUUGCAAAUAACGAAGUAUUGUUUUCUCCCAUAUGCUCAUUUUCUUCAUCUUAUCAUAUGGUUUUCCCCUUGCCGCGAGAGGAACGACGAUCGCUCCCACCAUCACCACUACCUCCAGCAGCAAGCCAUCUCUAUGCACCACAAUUUAUUUAGCUCAUAUUUGCAAAUGAUUAAACUAUGAACAAAUUCUAUAUUUUCCCCACAAUUUACUUAGUUCAAACAUAACAUAUACAUGAAAAAAAAUUCUCCAUUGUAGCUUAUUCUAAAAAUGACUAAUUACAUACCUCUAUUUCAUCUUAUUAUCUUUAUUACCUUUAUGUACC
rnacentral:lncRNA from 1 species